rnacentral:rRNA from 1 species
UACGGGGGGAGCAAGCGUUGUUCGGAUUUACUGGGCGUAAAGGGCUCGUAGGUGGCCAACUAAGUCAGACGUGAAAUCCCUCGGCUUAACCGGGGAACUGCGUCUGAUACUGGAUGGCUUGAGUUCGGGAGAGGGAUGCGGAAUUCCAGGUGUAGCGGUGAAAUGCGUAGAUAUCUGGAGGAAUACCGGUGGCGAAGGCGGCAUCCUGGACCGACAUUGACGCUGAGGAGCGAAAGCUAGGGGAGCAAACGGG